rnacentral:rRNA from 1 species
UAGGGAAUCUUCCACAAUGGACGCAAGUCUGAUGGAGCAACGCCGCGUGAGUGAAGAAGGUUUUCGGAUCGUAAAGCUCUGUUGUUGGUGAAGAAGGAUAGAGGCAGUAACUGGUCUUUAUUUGACGGUAAUCAACCAGAAAGUCACGGCUAACUACGUGCCAGCAGCCGCGGUAAUACGUAGGUGGCAAGCGUUGUCCGGAUUUAUUGGGCGGAAAGCGAGCGCAGGCGGAAUGAUAAGUCUGAUGUGAAAGCCCACGGAUCAACCGUGGAACUGCAUCGGAAACUGUCAUUCUUGAGUGCAGAAGAGGAGAGUGGAAUUCCAUGUGUAGCGGUGGAAUGCGUAGAUAUAUGGAAGAACACCAGUGGCGAAGGCGGCUCUCUGGUCUGCAACUGACGCUGAGGCUCGAAAGCAUGGGUAGCGAACAGG